rfam:Felis catus isolate Cinnamon breed Abyssinian chromosome D2, whole genome shotgun sequence.
GCCUGGGUGGCUCAUUCGGUUGAGCAUCUGACUUUGGCUCAGGUCAUGAUCUCACGGUUUGUGGGUUCGAGCCCCACGUCGGGGCU